UAGCGAGGAUUGACAGAUUGAUAGCUCUUUCUUGAUUCUAUGGGUAUUUUUGGUGGUGCAUGGCCGUUCUUAGUUGGUGGAGUGAUUUGUCUGGUUAAUUCCGUUAAACGAACGAGACCUCAGCCUGCUAAAUAGUUACUUGUCUUUCUUUUACGAGACAUGUUAACUUCUUAGAGGGACGUUGUGUGCAACCACAAGGAAGUUGAGGCAAUAACAGGUCUGUGAUGCCCUUAGAUGUCCUGGGCCGCACGCGUGCUACACUGAUACGUACAACGAGGUAUAUGUAUUUAUACAUCGAUGCUGCUCCGAAAUAGACAAAGCUAAAUCUUCUAAAAUACGUAUCGUGCUGCGGAUAGAUCGUUGAAAUUAUGAAUCUUGAAGGUGGAAUUCCUAGUAAGCGCGGGUCAUCAACCCGCGUUGAUUACGUCCCUGCCCUUUGUACACACCGCCCGUCGCUCCUACCAAUUUCGAGUGGCUCGGUGAACCUCUUUGGACUGUCGAGCAAUCGCGAAAUUAGAGUGAACCUGGUCACUUAGAGGAAGGAGAAGUCGUAACAAGGUUUCCGUAGGU
rnacentral:rRNA from 1 species